rnacentral:rRNA from 1 species
UAAAAUAAUUAAGGGCACACAAAGGAUGCCUAGGUAGUAAGAGCCGAUGAAGGACGUGGUAAGCUGCGAUAAGCCUAGAUAAGUUGCAAUCGAACGUAAGAGUCUAGGAUUUCCGAAUGGAGCAAUCUAUUAAGAUGGAGUCUUAAUACGAAAGAGGGAACCGCGUGAACUGAAACAUCUAAGUAACGCGAGGAAAAGAAAGUAAAAACGAUACCCAAAGUAGCGGCGAGCGAAAUGGGUCAAGCCUAAACCUUAAAUAUGUCAAGGAUACAGCCGUUGUAUUUAAGGGGUUGUGGGACAGAGUGAUGAAGAACUGUAAGAUAUUCAAUAUAGUGUAUUGAUGAAUUAGAAUUGUCUGGAAAGGUGAACCGCAGAAGGUGAAAGUCCUGUAUAAGUAAAUCCUUACACAUAUAACUUUGCUCCCAAGUAACAUGGAACACGAGGAAUUCUGUGUGAAUCUGUGAGGACCAUAUCUCAUAAGGCUAAAUACUCUUACUAACCGAUAGCGCAUAGUACCGUGAGGGAAAGGUGAAAAGAACCCCUGGAGGGGAGUGAAAUAGAACCUGAAAUUGUGUGCUUACAAGCGGUCAGAGCCAGUAAUGGUGAUGGCGUGCCUUUUGGAGAAUGAUCCUGCGAGUUACGUUAAACGGCGAGGUUAAGUAUAACGGAGCCGAAGGGAAACCAAGUCUUAAUAGGGCGAUUUAGUCGUUUGGCGUAGACGCGAAACCUGGUGAUCUAAACCUGUCCAGGAUGAAGCUGUGGUAAGACACAGUGGAGGUCCUAACCCACCGCCGUUGAAAAGUUGGGGGAUGAGGUAGGUUUAGGGGUGAAAAGCCAAUCGAACCAGGAGAUAGCUCGUUCUCUCCGAAAUGCAUCUAGGUGCAGCCUUGAGUGUUCAAUUAUGGGGGUAGAGCACUGAAUGAUCUAGGGGGCAUAUUGCUUACUGAAAUCAAUCAAACUCCGAAUACCAUAAUUUAUAGCUCAGGAGUGAGACUAUGGGAGUUAACUUCCAUUGUCAAAAGGGAAACAACCCAGACCACCAGCUAAGGUCCCUAAUUAUAACUAAGUGGGAAAGGAGGUGGAGAUUCACAAACAACUAGGAGGUUGGCUUAGAAGCAGCCAUACCUUUAAAGAGUGCGUAAUAGCUCACUAGUCGAGAGUCUCUGCGCCGACAAUGUAACGGGGCUAAGUUAUAAACCGAAGCUGUGGAAUCCGUAAGGAUUGGUAGGAGAGCGUUCUGUAGGCCGUUGAAGAAGAAGGGUAACCGACUUUGGAGGUAUCAGAAGUGAGAAUGCAGGAAUAAGUAGCGAGAAAGGGGGCGAGAAUCCCCCUCGCCGGAAGACCAAGGUUUUCAGGGUAAAGCUUGUCUUCCCUGAGUAAGCCGGGACCUAAGCCCAGGCUAUAAUGCGUAGGCGAAUGGAAAACAGAUUAAUAUUUCUGUGCCAGUCAUUUAUUGUGAUGGAGGGACGCAGAAGGGUAUGCGCGCGGACGAUCGGUUGUGUCCGUAGAAGUAUGUAGGAUGACUUAGUAGGUAAAUCCAUUAAGUUAUAUCUGAGGUAUGAUAUACAGUCGUAAGAUGAAUGCGCAAAUCCCACGCUGCCAAGAAAAGCUUCUAACGUUAAUAUAUGACUGCCCGUACUGUAAACCGACACAGGUGGUCAGGAUGAGAAAUCUAAGGCGGACAGGCUAACUCUCGUUAAGGAACUCUGCAAAAUAACCUCGUAACUUCGGGAGAAGAGGAGCCCUUGGGUGUUAGUAUCCAUGCGAUACAAAGCGCUCGAGGGUCGCAGUGAAGAGGCUCAAGCAACUGUUUAACAAAAACACAGGUCUAUGCUAAGCUGGAAGGCGAUGUAUAUGGGCUGACACCUGCCCAGUGCUGGAAGGUUAAGAGGAGGAGUGAGAGCUCCGAAUUGAAGCCCCAGUGAACGGCGGCCGUAACUAUAACGGUCCUAAGGUAGCGAAAUUCCUUGUCGGGUAA